GACGAACGCUGGCGGCGUGCCUAAUACAUGCAAGUAGAACGCUGAAGAGAGGAGCUUGCUCUUCUUGGAUGAGUUGCGAACGGGUGAGUAACGCGUAGGUAACCUGCCUUGUAGCGGGGGAUAACUAUUGGAAACGAUAGCUAAUACCGCAUAACAAUGGAUGACCCAUGUCAUUUAUUUGAAAGGGGCAAAUGCUCCACUACAAGAUGGACCUGCGUUGUAUUAGCUAGUAGGUGAGGUAACGGCUCACCUAGGCGACGAUACAUAGCCGACCUGAGAGGGUGAUCGGCCACACUGGGACUGAGACACGGCCCAGACUCCUACGGGAGGCAGCAGUAGGGAAUCUUCGGCAAUGGGGGCAACCCUGACCGAGCAACGCCGCGUGAGUGAAGAAGGUUUUCGGAUCGUAAAGCUCUGUUGUAUGUCAAGAACGAGUGUGAGAGUGGAAAGUUCACACUGUGACGGUAGCUUACCAGAAAGGGACGGCUAACUACGUG
rnacentral:rRNA from 1 species